rnacentral:rRNA from 1 species
CGGCGAUGUCCGAAUGGGGAAACCCAGUGCAAUUCGUUGCACUAUCGUUAACUGAAUACAUAGGUUAACGAGGCGAACCGGGGGAACUGAAACAUCUAAGUACCCCGAGGAAAAGAAAUCAACCGAGAUUCCCCCAGUAGCGGCGAGCGAACGGGGAGCAGCCCAGAGUCUGAAUCAGCUUGUGUGUUAGUGGAACGGUCUGGAAAGUCCGACGGUACAGGGUGAUAGUCCCGUACACCAAAAUGCACAGGCUGUGAACUCGAAGAGUAGGGCGGGACACGUGGUAUCCUGUCUGAAUAUGGGGGGACCAUCCUCCAAGGCUAAAUACUCCUGACUGACCGAUAGUGAACCAGUACCGUGAGGGAAAGGCGAAAAGAACCCCGGCGAGGGGAGUGAAAAAGAACCUGAAACCGUGUACGUACAAGCAGUGGGAGCACCUUCGGGUGUGACUGCGUACCUUUUGUAUAAUGGGUCAGCGACUUAUAUUCUGUAGCAAGGUUAACCGUAUAGGGGAGCCGCAGGGAAACCGAGUCUUAACUGGGCGUUAAGUUGCAGGGUAUAGACCCGAAACCCGGUGAUCUAGCCAUGGGCAGGUUGAAGGUUGGGUAACACUAACUGGAGGACCGAACCGACUAAUGUUGAAAAAUUAGCGGAUGACUUGUGGCUGGGGGUGAAAGGCCAAUCAAACCGGGAGAUAGCUGGUUCUCCCCGAAAGCUAUUUAGGUAGCGCCUCGUGAACUCAUCUUCGGGGGUAGAGCACUGUUUCGGCUAGGGGGUCAUCCCGACUUACCAACCCGAUGCAAACUACGAAUACCGAAGAAUGUUAUCACGGGAGACACACGGCGGGUGCUAACGUCCGUCGUGAAGAGGGAAACAACCCAGACCGCCAGCUAAGGUCCCAAAGUCAUGGUUAAGUGGGAAACGAUGUGGGAAGGCACAGACAGCCAGGAUGUUGGCUUAGAAGCAGCCAUCAUUUAAAGAAAGCGUAAUAGCUCACUGGUCGAGUCGGCCUGCGCGGAAGAUGUAACGGGGCUAAACCAUGCACCGAAGCUGCGGCAGCGACACUAUGUGUUGUUGGGUAGGGGAGCGUUCUGUAAGCCUGCGAAGGUGUGCUGUGAGGCAUGCUGGAGGUAUCAGAAGUGCGAAUGCUGACAUAAGUAACGAUAAAGCGGGUGAAAAGCCCGCUCGCCGGAAGACCAAGGGUUCCUGUCCAACGUUAAUCGGGGCAGGGUGAGUCGACCCCUAAGGCGAGGCCGAAAGGCGUAGUCGAUGGGAAACAGGUUAAUAUUCCUGUACUUGGUGUUACUGCGAAGGGGGGACGGAGAAGGCUAUGUUAGCCGGGCGACGGUUGUCCCGGUUUAAGCAUGUAGGCUGGUUAUCCAGGCAAAUCCGGAUAAUCAAGGCUGAGGUGUGAUGACGAGGCACUACGGUGCUGAAGUAACAAAUGCCCUGCUUCCAGGAAAAGCCUCUAAGCAUCAGGUAACAUCAAAUCGUACCCCAAACCGACACAGGUGGUCAGGUAGAGAAUACCAAGGCGCUUGAGAGAACUCGGGUGAAGGAACUAGGCAAAAUGGUGCCGUAACUUCGGGAGAAGGCACGCUGGUGUGUAGGUGAAGUCCCUGCGGAUGGAGCUGAGACCAGUCGAAGAUACCAGCUGGCUGCAACUGUUUAUUAAAAACACAGCACUGUGCAAACACGAAAGUGGACGUAUACGGUGUGACGCCUGCCCGGUGCCGGAAGGUUAAUUGAUGGGGUUAUCCGUAAGGAGAAGCUCUUGAUCGAAGCCCCGGUAAACGGCGGCCGUAACUAUAACGGUCCUAAGGUAGCGAAAUUCCUUGUCGGGUAAGUUCCGACCUGCACGAAUGGCGUAAUGAUGGCCAGGCUGUCUCCACCCGAGACUCAGUGAAAUUGAACUCGCUGUGAAGAUGCAGUGUACCCGCGGCAAGACGGAAAGACCCCGUGAACCUUUACUAUAGCUUGACACUGAACAUUGAGCCUUGAUGUGUAGGAUAGGUGGGAGGCUUUGAAGCGUGGACGCCAGUCUGCGUGGAGCCAACCUUGAAAUACCACCCUUUAAUGUUUGAUGUUCUAACGUUGGCCCCUUACCGGGGUUGCGGACAGUGUCUGGUGGGUAGUUUGACUGGGGCGGUCUCCUCCCAAAGCGUAACGGAGGAGCACGAAGGUUAGCUAAUCCUGGUCGGACAUCAGGAGGUUAGUGCAAUGGCAUAAGCUAGCUUGACUGCGAGCGUGACGGCGCGAGCAGGUGCGAAAGCAGGUCAUAGUGAUCCGGUGGUUCUGAAUGGAAGGGCCAUCGCUCAACGGAUAAAAGGUACUCCGGGGAUAACAGGCUGAUACCGCCCAAGAGUUCAUAUCGACGGCGGUGUUUGGCACCUCGAUGUCGGCUCAUCACAUCCUGGGGCUGAAGUAGGUCCCAAGGGUAUGGCUGUUCGCCAUUUAAAGUGGUACGCGAGCUGGGUUUAGAACGUCGUGAGACAGUUCGGUCCCUAUCUGCCGUGGGCGCUGGAGAAUUGAGGGGGGCUGCUCCUAGUACGAGAGGACCGGAGUGGACGCAUCACUGGUGUUCGGGUUGUCAUGCCAAUGGCACUGCCCGGUAGCUAAAUGCGGAAGAGAUAAGUGCUGAAAGCAUCUAAGCACGAAACUUGCCCCGAGAUGAGUUCU